GACGAACGCUGGCGGCGUGCUUAACACAUGCAAGUCGAACGGAAAGGCCCUGCUUUUGUGGGGUGCUCGAGUGGCGAACGGGUGAGUAACACGUGAGUAACCUGCCCUUGACUUUGGGAUAACUUCAGGAAACUGGGGCUAAUACCGGAUAGGAGCUCCUGCUGCAUGGUGGGGGUUGGAAAGUUUCGGCGGUUGGGGAUGGACUCGCGGCUUAUCAGCUUGUUGGUGUGGUAGUGGCUUACGAAGGCUUUGACGGGUAGCCGGCCUGAGAGGGUGACCGGCCACAUUGGGACUGGGAUACGGCCCCGGCCCCUACGGGAGGCAGCAGUGGGGGUUAUUGCACUAUGGGCGGAAGCCUGAUCCAGCACCGCCGCGUGCGGGAUGACGGCCUUCGGGUUGUAAUCCGCUUUCGCCUGUGCCGAAGCGUGAGUGACGGUAAUGGGUAAAGAAGCACCGGCCAACUACGUG
rnacentral:rRNA from 1 species